AGAUGGCGACCGGCGCACGGGUGAGUAACACGUAUCCACCUGCCGAUAACUCGGGGAUAGCCUUUCGAAAGAAAGAUUAAUACCCGAUGGCAUAAUAGAACCGCAUGGUUUGAUUAUUAAAGAAUUUCGGUUAUCGAUGGGGAUGCGUUCCAUUAGGCAGUUGGUGGGGUAACGGCCCACCAAACCUUCGAUGGAUAGGGGUUCUGAGAGGAAGGUCCCCCACAUUGGAACUGAGACACGGUCCAA
rnacentral:rRNA from 1 species